GACGAACGCUGGCGGCGUGCCUAAUACAUGCAAGUCGAACGCUUCUUUCCUCCCGAGUGCUUGCCCUCAAUUGGAAAGAGGAGUGGCGGACGGGUGAGUAACACGUGGGUAACCUACCCAUCAGAGGGGGAUAACACUUGGAAACAGGUGCUAAUACCGCAUAACAGUUUAUGCCGCAUGGCAUAAGAGUGAAAGGCGCUUUCGGGUGUCGCUGAUGGAUGGACCCGCGGUGCAUUAGCUAGUUGGUGAGGUAACGGCUCACCAAGGCCACGAUGCAUAGCCGACCUGAGAGGGUGAUCGGCCACACUGGGACUGAGACACGGCCCAGACUCCUACGGGAGGCAGCAGUAGGGAAUCGUCGGCAAUGGACGAAAGUCUGACCGAGCAACGCCGCGUGAGUGAAGAAGGUCUUCGGAGCGUAAAACUCUGUUGUUAGAGAAGAACAAGGACGUUAGUAAAUGAACGUCCCCUGACGGUAUCUAACCAGAAAGCCACGGCUAACUACGUG
rnacentral:rRNA from 1 species